AGAUACAUGCAGAAUGGGGAGGGGCCCUUUCCCAAAGGGAAGGGAUGGCUUUUAAUAGUAAAAAAGUGAGAAAAGAGUUGCCGAGAAGACAAUAGGACAGAUUCAUGCUAGAGAUAAUCAUUUAUAACUGAUCUAGCUAGAAUUUUACUGUCAUUGUAUAGAUUAAAAUAGAGCUUUGAAAUUUUAUGUAUCAAGUUCUUCAUUCCCUAUGAGAGUAUGUUUGUCACGUCAUUACUUCUGGUAAACAUAUCCUAAAAUAUUGAAGGAAACUAUUAUUUUUCAGAGCUGCAUUAAAAGUGGUAAUAGAAAGGGCUAUGCUGGGAUAUCUCACCAAAAGCAACAAAUUCUCACAAAUUGUUCAUUUGGUGAUUUCCCUCUUUCUGCCCUUGCUAAAAGUAGCUGAAUGAAAAGUGGAUAGGUCAAGGAUGUGGUAGGAGCUUCUGCUUUUUGGAUGAGAAGCAAACAACCGUGAUAAACUUCAGGUCUGUCCUUCCAUCACCUUGACAUCAGCUUUUCCUCCAUCUAUGGAAAGUUCCAUUGUGUCCCUGUCCAGUGUGACAAGGCACUAGAAAUCAGAGCUGCUCUGUCUGUUCUCUGUGCCAGUCAUUUCCUUUCUGUUCCUGGCGCUCGUCUAAGUGAAGAGAGGAAAGAAAAAUGGAGGGGAGGGAAAGAACAGAGUGGAGAGAAUGAAUAUUUCAGAUUGGUUUGUACACUCUCAAAACACAGGUCCUGGAGUAGAGUUAUCGUGUCUCACACGCCAGCAUCCUUUCCGCCAUCAGAGCUGGAAUGUGGAUGUGAUGGCUGGAGCUCCAGCAACUGUUUUAUGACCUUGAGUAUGGAAUUCACACUUGAAGAAGCCACAAACUGAGAAUGGGAGAACAGAAAGAGAAAAGCAUCUUGAUUCCCUGAUGAUUUC
rnacentral:lncRNA from 1 species